rnacentral:rRNA from 1 species
AUUGAACGCUGGCGGCAGGCCUAACACAUGCAAGUCGAGCGAGCGGCGGACGGGUGAGUAAUGUCUGGGAAACUGCCUGAUGGAGGGGGAUAACUACUGGAAACGGUAGCUAAUACCGCAUACCAUCAGAUGUGCCCAGGUGGGAUGAGCUAGUAGGUGGGGUAACGGCUAACCUAGGCGACGAUCCCUAGCUGGUCUGAGCGGAUGACCAGCCACACUGGAACGUAGACACGGUCCAGACUCCUACGGGCGGCAGUAGUGGGGAAUAUUGCACAAUGGGCGAAAGCCUGAUGCAGCCAUGCCGCGUGGGUGAAGAAGGCCUUCGGGUUGUAAAGCACUUUCAGCGGGGAGGCGUUAACCGCAGAAGAAGCAGCGGCUAACUCCGUGCCAGCAGCCGCGGUAAUUC